GUGCUUGCUUGUGCAGCACAUAUACUAAAAUUGGAAUGAUACAGAGAAGAUAAGCAUGGCCCCU
rnacentral:snRNA from 1 species